GCUGGGUGCAGUGAUGCACGCCUGUAAUCCUGGCUACUUGGGAGGCUGAGGUAGGAGGAUCACAAGUUUGAGGCCAGCACGGGCAACUAUGGGAGGCCCUAAACAACUCUACAGGACCCUGUCUCAA
rnacentral:sRNA from 1 species